AGGUCACAGCAACAGCGCAUAGGCGGCAGCAGCAGCGCGUGGGUAGCAGCAGCAGCAGCGCGUGGGUAGCAGCAGCAGCAAACUCCGACAGCAGCUACAAACAGAGGGAGUAUACAUCAAAACUCACUGCGGCAGUGACGGAUUAAGAGGGUAACUUUAUCUUACUUGAUUAAUUUUAAUUCAUUCUUCUCCUAUCUAUUCAUGUGGGUCUUUAUAUCUGCCUAUUUAUAUCUUCAACCUUUGUUGUAAAACCCCAAAAAAAUUAUCCAUUUUUCAAAGUCCCAAACAAAAUAACGUUUGGUCAAAUUUGAAUAAGUACUUAAUUUUAUUUCAAAACAACCCAUGAUUUAUGAUACUGUAAAAUACUUGUGUAUAAAAGAACAAAAAGAAAGUUGUUGAAUCUAAAAGGUACAGGCCUUGCAAUUUCUUCUGUACUUUUCUUUCUUGGGUCAUAAUGUUGACCAAAUUAGUGUGAAAAUAUAGACUGGUCAACGGACAGAGAUUGAAUUUUGGUGGCUACUUUAUACAUACAUUACCGUAAAGCCAAAAAUAUUCACUGAAACGCGGCUUUAUUUUAGAAAAGUAUGUAUUCCAAUAUGACAAACGUUAAAGUUUGAAUUCCAAAAAGAUAUCUAUUCAUGUGGGUGUUCUUUCAUUUUCUAUGUUGAUGCUUGUUUUCAAAUUGGCUCGUAUUGCAGUUGACGAAUCUCGAUGUUGUUGUGUGUUUGUGCCAUGUAGUAACUAAUAAUUAUUGAAUCUUUUUCUAGUGUUGAAAGGGUUGAUUUUGCGGGAUAGACAACUGAGGAAGCUCAACAUCAAAAAAAGUUGAUACAAGCUUCUUUCAUCAAAGUAGGAGAUAAG
rnacentral:lncRNA from 1 species